GUCCACGCCGUAAACGUUGGGCACUAGGUGUGGGGGGAAGUCAACCCCUUCCCGUGCCGCAGCUAACGCAUUAAGUGCCCCGCCUGGGGAGUACGGCCGCAAGGCUAAAACUCAAAGGAAUUGACGGGGGCCCGCACAAGCGGCGGAGCAUGUUGCUUAAUUCGAGGCAACGCGAAGAACCUUACCUGGGUUUGACAUGUACGGAAAAGCCGUAGAGAUACGGUGUCCUUCGGGGCCGUACACAGGUGGUGCAUGGUUGUCGU
rnacentral:rRNA from 1 species